AAGCUGGUACUCCUACUCUUUUCUCUCUGAAUGAAGAUUGAGCUUUGCCCAGACUGCAAAUCCUUCCUCUGUCCAAUAUCUAAUAUUUGAAGAUCUGAAGACAGAAAUUUCAAAAUGAACAGAUGAGGGCUUAUGUCUGAAACGUUGACUUUCCUGCUCAUUGGAUGCUGCCUGACCUGCUUGUCUUUUCCAGCGUUGCACCUUUCAACACUGACUCUCCAGUGUCUGCAGUCAAUGUCUGACAGUCACUCAAUCCAUCGGGACCGCAACAAUUUUCGACUAUGACUCUGUGAGAAGGAGCAAAGCUUUUUGGUUCCAGUUUGAGUACGUUUUCAGCAUCAGUGAGUCUGGAUGAGAGACCCUACACUGACUGUGGAGAGUGUAACAACUAUACAGCCUGGAAAAAGGAAUUCACAGCAGGGAGGGACUGUAUACAUGUUUGUGUGCAGCUGAAUCUUUGGCCAUGGAGAAAUCCAAGGAAUCCCACCCUGUGGAGAAACCAUGGAAGUGUGGCAACUGUGGGAAAGGCUUUUAUUCCCCAUCUGCCUUGGAGACUCAUCGGCGCAGCCACACCGGGGAGAGGCCAUUCUCCUGUCCUGUCUGCAGGAAGGGCUUCAGCUGUUCCUCUGCCGUGCUGACCCACCGGCGGGUCCACACUGGGGAGAGGCCCUUCAGCUGCCCUGAGUGUGGGAAGGCCUUCAGCAAUUCCUCCGACCUGCUGACACCAAGGAGUGGCCCUUCAGCUGUGUCAUAUGUGAGAAGGCCUUCAGCAAUUCCUCCACCCUGCUGACCCACCGGUGGGUCCACACGGGGGAGUGGCCAUUCAUCUGCUCUCAAUGCAGGAAGGGCUUCACCCGCGAGUUCAUGUGCCAUCACAAGGGAAUUGAAGGAGCAACGGCUGAGUGCCAUUAUGAACUGGACUAUCCACCUAGUUCCGGGGAUUCCUGGGUUUGAAUCCCAACAUGGCAGAUGGCGGAAUUGGAAUUUGGUUAGAAAUCUGGAGUUAGCAUCUAACUAUGAAACUACUUUCGCUGGGGCUGUGGAUCCAAUUACAAAGGGGCAACUCGGCCACCAGUAGUAAAGAACGUGAAGUGGGUGUGUGUGUGUGGGAUAGUGUGCAUGCUUUAACCUUGAGCUGUAUAAAAAGCAGCUACUUUUUCUAUGACUUUUUGUGGGGGGAUCUGAAGCUGUAACAAAGUUGGGUCACAAUAAAGGGUUACCUGAACUUA